AGAUCCAGAGCUGCUGAGAACAGCUGCAGAUGACUGACUCAGUGUGUUUGCAUAUGUGUGCUGCCUCUCUGCUUCCAGCAGUUAAGAGCUCAGUGUUGAUCAGUGGCUGUCCAGACCUUUCAGAGACACUGACACACCUGCAGCACAAUGAGGAUGUCACUGACUCUGCUGCUGGCUGUCCUGGAGCUCCUUGUUCAGGGUUCUUCAGGUGAAAUCUCUUUGACUCAGACUCCUGGAUCUCAGUCUGUUGUUCCAGGACAAACUGUCUCCAUUAGAUGUAGAACCAGUUCAAGUGUUAGCAACUAUCUCCACUGGUAUCUUCAGAAAUCUGGAGAAGCUCCUAAACUCCUGAUAUAUUAUGCUUCAAAUCGUCAGUCUGGAGUUUCUGAUCGUUUUAGUGGAAGUGGAUCUGGCAGUGACUUCACUCUGACCAUCAGUGGAGUCCAGGCUGAAGAUUCAGGAGUUUAUUACUGUCAGAGUUAUCACUAUAUCAACAGACAGUAUGUGUUCACACAGUGAAAAGUCGUCGUACAAAAACCUCCUUCAUCAGAAUGAACUGAAACUCAUUUGAAUGUUUCUGCCUCAAGUUCUUCCAGAAACUGAAACUCUGAUUUACUGUAGAUUCACUAAACACACGAAUAAAGACA